rnacentral:lncRNA from 1 species
AGUGGGCGUGCAGGAGAAGCUGUAGGUCAGGAGGUAGAGUUGGCAGUGGGCGUGCAGGAGAAGCUGUAGGUCGGAGAGGUAGAGGUGGCAGUGGGCGUGCAGGAGAAGCUGUAGGUCAGGGGGUAGAGGUGGCAGUGGGCGUGCAGGAGAAGCUGUAGGUCAGAGUGGAUAGGUGGCAGUGGGCGUGCAGGAGAAGCUGUAGGUCAGGAGGUAGAGGUGGCAGUGGGCGUGCAGGAGAAGCUGUAGGUCAGGAGGUAGAGGUGGCAGUGGGCGUGCAGGAGAAGCUGUAGGUCAGGAGGUAGAGUUGGCAGUGGGCGUGCAGGAGAAGCUGUAGGUCGGAGAGGUAGAGGUGGCAGUGGGCGUGCAGGAGAAGCUGUAGGUCAGAGUGGAGAGGUGGCAGUGGGCGUGCAGGAGAAGGUGUAGGUCAGGGGGUAGAGGUGGCAGUGGGCGUGCAGGAGAAGCUGUAGGUCGGGAGGUAGAGGUGGCAGUGGGCGUGCAGGAGAAGCUGUAGGUCAGGGGGUAGAGGUGGCAGUGGGCGUGCAGGAGAAGCUGUAGGUC